GAUGAACGCUGGCGGCGUGCCUAAUACAUGCAAGUCGAGCGAACAGACGAGGAGCUUGCUCCUCUGACGUUAGCGGCGGACGGGUGAGUAACACGUGGAUAACCUACCUAUAAGACUGGGAUCACUUCGGGAAACCGGAGCUAAUACCGGAUAAUAUAUUGAACCGCAUGGUUCAAUAGUGAAAGACGGUUUUGCUGUCACUUAUAGAUGGAUCCGCGCCGCAUUAGCUAGUUGGUAAGGUAACGGCUUACCAAGGCAACGAUGCGUAGCCGACCUGAGAGGGUGAUCGGCCACACUGGAACUGAGACACGGUCCAGACUCCUACGGGAGGCAGCAGUAGGGAAUCUUCCGCAAUGGGCGAAAGCCUGACGGAGCAACGCCGCGUGAGUGAUGAAGGUCUUCGGAUCGUAAAACUCUGUUAUUAGGGAAGAACAAAUGUGUAAGUAACUAUGCACGUCGUGACGGUACCUAAUCAGAAAGCCACGGCUAACUACGUG
rnacentral:rRNA from 1 species